GAUGAACGCUAGCGGGAGGCUUAACACAUGCAAGUCGAGGGGCAGCACGAUGUAGCAAUACGUUGGUGGCGACCGGCGCACGGGUGAGUAACACGUAUGUAACCUACCCUGUACAGGGGGAUAACCCGGAGAAAUUCGGACUAAUACUCCAUGGAGAUAUACUGGGGCAUCCUGGUAUAUUUAAAGCUUCGGUGGUACGGGAUGGGCAUGCGCGACAUUAGCUAGUUGGUAAGGUAACGGCUUACCAAGGCGACGAUGUUUAGGGGACCUGAGAGGGUUGUCCCCCACACUGGUACUGAGACACGGACCAGACUCCUACGGGAGGCAGCAGUGAGGAAUAUUGGUCAAUGGGCGCAAGCCUGAACCAGCCAUCCCGCGUGAAGGAAGAAUGCGCUACGCGUUGUAAACUUCUUUUCCAGGGGGAGAAUAAUCCUGUCGUGACAGGACUUGACGGUACUCUGGGAAUAAGCAUCGGCUAACUCCGUGCCAGCAGCCGCGGUAAACUGU
rnacentral:rRNA from 1 species